GACGAACGCUGGCGGCGUGCUUAACACAUGCAAGUCGAACGGAAAGGCCCUGCUUUUGUGGGGUGCUCGAGUGGCGAACGGGUGAGUAACACGUGAGUAACCUGCCCUUGACUUUGGGAUAACUUCAGGAAACUGGGGCUAAUACCGGAUAGGAGCUCCUGCUGCAUGGUGGGGGUUGAAAAGUUUCGGCGGUUGGGGAUGGACUCGCGGCUUAUCAGCUUGUUGGUGGGGUAGUGGCUUACCACGGCUUUGACGGGUAGCCGGCCUGAGAGGGUGACCGGCCACAUUGGGACUGAGAUACGGCCCAGACUCCUACGGGAGGCAGCAGUGGGGAAUAUUGCACAAUGGGCGGAAGCCUGAUGCAGCAACGCCGCGUGCGGGAUGACGGCCUUCGGGUUGUAAACCGCUUUCGCCUGUGACGAAGCGUGAGUGACGGUAAUGGGUAAAGAAGCACCGGCUAACUACGUG
rnacentral:rRNA from 1 species